UUUAAUAAACAGAUAAAGCUGACACAAGCGGCCUAUUAGCUCAGUUGGUUAGAGCGUCGUGCUAAUAACGCGAAGGUCGCAGGUUCGAAACCUUCAUGGGCCAAAUAAGUUUUUAACAUUUUUUGUUUUAAAAUUCCCAUUUCUGAAUUCCAUUUGUUUCCUUUUCAAUCCGUGUUUUAAAAAACUCCAUUUGUGUGCCCCCAAUUUCAAUCCUCCACCAUCGUCAUCCAUGGAGGGUUCCAACCCCCUCAUCCUCAACGCUGGUUGAUCGCCCUGCCUUCUUGUCCGAUCCAUUGGUGCUGGUAUCUACAUAUUUUAUGUGAUACUUAUCGUCAUAAAGUUCAGGUUUCAAAAUAUCCCGCCUGCUAAGAAUCAAACAAAAGAAGGUGGGAUUGUGAGUAGAUGCAGGUGUUGGAUGAUUCCAUGGCUUAACCCACAGUAUAUUUUCCAUUUUCCUUUUAAAGGCAAAAGAUGAAGGUUUUGGAAAAGGAAAAUGUUAGGUUGGGGUACUAAGAAGCUCCAUAUUGUGAUUGGAUUUUGUAGAAAGAAGCAAAAUUGAUAUCUAUUUGGUGAAUCUACGUAUUCAUCACUAUGAAAUAUUAGGCUGUAAAGGAAGAGGAGUUCUUUAGUUUUACGUUCCCCUCUCUCAUGCACAUGAAUUAUAGCAAUACGUAUGGGAAACACAUUAGUAAUGGAAUUAAUGGACUUCUUUUCA